rfam:Ixodes scapularis strain Wikel colony gcontig_1108378542410, whole genome shotgun sequence.
UGGUUAGCUCAAUUGGUAGAGCGCUCCACCUGUAAUGGAGAGGUCCCGGGUUCGAUACCCGGACCA